GCGCCCAGUAGCUCAAAAAAGAGCACCAGUGUUGUAAGCUGGUUGCGCGGGUUGAAACCCCGUCUGACGCUC
rnacentral:tRNA from 1 species